rnacentral:rRNA from 1 species
ACCUGAAACCGUGUACGUACAAGCAGUGGGAGCCUCUUUUAUGGGGUGACUGCGUACCUUUUGUAUAAUGGGUCAGCGACUUAUAUUCUGUAGCAAGGUUAACCGAAUAGGGGAGCCGAAGGGAAACCGAGUCUUAACCGGGCGUUAAGUUGCAGGGUAUAGACCCGAAACCCGGUGAUCUAGCCAUGGGCAGGUUGAAGGUUGGGUAACACUAACUGGAGGACCGAACCGACUAAUGUUGAAAAAUUAGCGGAUGACUUGUGGCUGGGGGUGAAAGGCCAAUCAAACCGGGAGAUAGCUGGUUCUCCCCGAAAGCUAUUUAGGUAGCGCCUCGUGAAUUCAUCUCCGGGGGUAGAGCACUGUUUCGGCAAGGGGGUCAUCCCGACUUACCAACCCGAUGCAAACUGCGAAUACCGGAGAAUGUUAUCACGGGAGACACACGGCGGGUGCUAACGUCCGUCGUGAAGAGGGAAACAACCCAGACCGCCAGCUAAGGUCCCAAAGUCAUGGUUAAGUGGGAAACGAUGUGGGAAGGCCCAGACAGCCAGGAUGUUGGCUUAGAAGCAGCCAUCAUUUAAAGAAAGCGUAAUAGCUCACUGGUCGAGUCGGCCUGCGCGGAAGAUGUAACGGGGCUAAACCAUGCACCGAAGCUGCGGCAGCGACACUGUGUGUUGUUGGGUAGGGGAGCGUUCUGUAAGCCUGUGAAGGUGUACUGUGAGGUAUGCUGGAGGUAUCAGAAGUGCGAAUGCUGACAUAAGUAACGAUAAAGCGGGUGAAAAGCCCGCUCGCCGGAAGACCAAGGGUUCCUGUCCAACGUUAAUCGGGGCAGGGUGAGUCGACCCCUAAGGCGAGGCCGAAAGGCGUAGUCGAUGGGAAACAGGUUAAUAUUCCUGUACUUGGUGUUACUGCGAAGGGGGGACGGAGAAGGCUAUGUUGGCCGGGCGACGGUUGUCCCGGUUUAAGCGUGUAGGCUGGUUUUCCAGGCAAAUCCGGAAAAUCAAGGCUGAGGCGUGAUGACGAGGCACUACGGUGCUGAAGCAACAAAUGCCCUGCUUCCAGGAAAAGCCUCUAAGCAUCAGGUAACAUCAAAUCGUACCCCAAACCGACACAGGUGGUCAGGUAGAGAAUACCAAGGCGCUUGAGAGAACUCGGGUGAAGGAACUAGGCAAAAUGGUGCCGUAACUUCGGGAGAAGGCACGCUGAUAUGUAGGUGAAGUCCCUCGCGGAUGGAGCUGAAAUCAGUCGAAGAUACCAGCUGGCUGCAACUGUUUAUUAAAAACACAGCACUGUGCAAACACGAAAGUGGACGUAUACGGUGUGACGCCUGCCCGGUGCCGGAAGGUUAAUUGAUGGGGUCAGCGCAAGCGAAGCUCUUGAUCGAAGCCCCGGUAAACGGCGGCCGUAACUAUAACGGUCCUAAGGUAGCGAAAUUCCUUGUCGGGUAAGUUCCGACCUGCACGAAUGGCGUAAUGAUGGCCAGGCUGUCUCCACCCGAGACUCAGUGAAAUUGAACUCGCUGUGAAGAUGCAGUGUACCCGCGGCAAGACGGAAAGACCCCGUGAACCUUUACUAUAGCUUGACACUGAACAUUGAGCCUUGAUGUGUAGGAUAGGUGGGAGGCUUUGAAGUGUGGACGCCAGUCUGCAUGGAGCCGACCUUGAAAUACCACCCUUUAAUGUUUGAUGUUCUAACGUGGACCCGUGAUCCGGGUUGCGGACAGUGUCUGGUGGGUAGUUUGACUGGGGCGGUCUCCUCCUAAAGAGUAACGGAGGAGCACGAAGGUUGGCUAAUCCUGGUCGGACAUCAGGAGGUUAGUGCAAUGGCAUAAGCCAGCUUGACUGCGAGCGUGACGGCGCGAGCAGGUGCGAAAGCAGGUCAUAGUGAUCCGGUGGUUCUGAAUGGAAGGGCCAUCGCUCAACGGAUAAAAGGUACUCCGGGGAUAACAGGCUGAUACCGCCCAAGAGUUCAUAUCGACGGCGGUGUUUGGCACCUCGAUGUCGGCUCAUCACAUCCUGGGGCUGAAGUAGGUCCCAAGGGUAUGGCUGUUCGCCAUUUAAAGUGGUACGCGAGCUGGGUUUAGAACGUCGUGAGACAGUUCGGUCCCUAUCUGCCGUGGGCGCUGGAGAACUGAGGGGGGCUGCUCCUAGUACGAGAGGACCGGAGUGGACGCAUCACUGGUGUUCGGGUUGUCAUGCCAAUGGCACUGCCCGGUAGCUAAAUGCGGAAGAGAUAAGUGCUGAAAGCAUCUAAGCACGAAACUUGCCCCGAGAUGAGUUCUCCCUGACCCUUUAAGGGUCCUGAAGGAACGUUGAAGACGACGACGUUGAUAGGCCGGGUGUGUAAGCGCAGCGAUGCGUUGAGCUAACCGGUACUAAUGAACCGUGAGGCUUAACCUUACAACGCCGAAGGUGUUU